GAUUGCUGAGACCACACUUCAAAGGGGCAUCCACUUCAAAGAGGCAUCUACUUCAAAGAUGGCCACCUCGAACACACACACUGCCAGCCAUAUAACCAGCCAAAUAAGACUCUUCAUCUAGUGGAUGAUCCAAACCUUCAUUUCUGCUGAAACUGAGUCCUAAUUGAGUCUUAGGUCUGCUAUGUUCCCACAGUUUUCUACAGAUGAACAAUACUGGACAAGAGAACACGAAAAGAUAUUUGGCCAUGAGGUAUGUGGGAUCUCAGCUCCCUGACCAGGGAUCGGACCCGCACCCCCUGCAUUGGAAGGCAAAGUCUUAACUGCUGGACUACCAGGGAGGUCCCUAAUUCUAAAAUCUCUUUAUCUGAUGUACACCCUACUGGUACAUGAAUAUAAAAGAAUACCAGGCUUCUAUCACACCUUCCUCUAGCCUGUCAAAUUAUAUAAGAAUUUUAAAUGCCUAUA